rnacentral:rRNA from 1 species
CCCUUAGAUGUUCUGGGCCGCACGCGUGCUACACUGAGUAAUUCAAUGGGUAAGGGAACGCUAGAGCAUUACCUAAUCUUGAAAUUUGCUCGUGAUGGGGAUCGACGGUUGCAAUUUUCCGUCGUGAACGAGGAAUACCUUGUAGGCGCAUGUCAUCAUCAUGCGCCGAAUACGUCCCUGCCCUUUGUACACACCGCCCGUCGCUCCUACCGAUUGAGUGAUCCGGUGAGGCUCUGGGACCUGGACGGGAAGAGCGUUUCGCUUGUUCUGUUUGGGAAACUUGGUCGAACCUUAUCAUUUAGAGGAAGGAGAAGUCGUAACA